GACGAACGCUGGCGGCGUGCCUAAUACAUGCAAGUAGAACGCUGAAGGAGGAGCUUGCUUCUCUGGAUGAGUUGCGAACGGGUGAGUAACGCGUAGGUAACCUGCCUGGUAGCGGGGGAUAACUAUUGGAAACGAUAGCUAAUACCGCAUAAGAGUAGAUGUUGCAUGACAUUUGCUUAAAAGGUGCACUUGCAUCACUACCAGAUGGACCUGCGUUGUAUUAGCUAGUUGGUGGGGUAACGGCUCACCAAGGCGACGAUACAUAGCCGACCUGAGAGGGUGGUCGGCCACACUGGGACUGAGACACGGCCCAGACUCCUACGGGAGGCAGCAGUAGGGAAUCUUCGGCAAUGGACGGAAGUCUGACCGAGCAACGCCGCGGGAGUGAAGAAGGGUUUCGGAUCGUAAAGCUCUGUUGUAAGAGAAGAACGAGUGUGAGAGUGGAAAGUUCACACUGUGACGGUACCUUACCAGAAAGGGACGGCUAACUACGUG
rnacentral:rRNA from 1 species